ACUCCUGCCGAUGGAUAUCUUGGCUCUCGCAACGAUGAAGAACGCAGCGAAAUGCGAUACGUAGUGCGAAUUGCAGAAUUCAGUGAAUCAUCGAACCUUUGAACGCAAAUGGCGCAUCCGGGCUCCGCUCGGACGCAUGUCUCUUCGAGGGGCGCCUCCAUCCUCCUCGGAGCGAGAGAGCUCUCUCUCUCUCGUCUCCGGAGCCGGCGGCCGCGCGGGGGAGCCUCGGCUCCCCCGCGCGCCCGGCCAAGGCUGCCUUGCGAGCGCGGCGGCGGCGUCUAACCCGCGUCCCCGCCGGAGUGCUAAGUCCACGACUAGACCUCCGGCGGACGCGUGCCCCGUUCUGCCUCGCGACCCCACGCGUGCGCGGUUCCUCUCCUCUCCUUUCGGAGAGCGAGGCCUGCCCGCCCCGGCGCGCGGCCGCUCUCUGUGCGGCCGCGCGCCUCGAAACCCGCCAUCGAAUGAGGCAAGACUACCCGCUGAACUUAAGCAUAUCACUAAGCGGAGGAGAAGAAACUAACCAGGAUGCCCCUAGUAAUGGCGAAUGAAGCGGGCUGAGCUCACGCUGCCAAUCUGGAGGCCUCGCGUAUGCAGCGCCCCCCGAAUUGUGGUCUAGAGAGGCGUUAUCGGCCGCGCCCGCCGCUCAAGUCCCUUGGAACAGGGUGUCGGAGAGGGUGAGAAUCCCGUACCGUGGCGGGUUGCGGCCUUACGAUGCGUCCUCGUCGAGUCGGGUUGCUUGGGAUUGCAGCUUGAAUUGGGUGGUAAAUUCCAUCUAAAGCUAAAUACUGGCGAGAGACCGAUAGCGAACAAGUACCGUGAGGGAAAGAUGCAAAGAACUUUGAAAAGAGAGUCAAAGAGUGCUUGAAAUCGGUAGGAGGAAACCCGGAUGGGCCCGGCUUCGGCGCGCCGACUCAGCCUGGGGUUCUCCCCAGGUGCACUUCUGCGCGCCGGGUCAGCCGCGCCUCGGCGCCGCGCCUCAACCCGGGAGCGGGGCUUUACGGCCAGCUCCCGUCCUGGCGCGGCCCGGGGCCCGGCUGACGGAACGGGCCCCUCCGACCCGUCUAGAAACACGGACCAAGGAGUCUGACACGUGUGCGAGUACCCGGGUGGCAAGCCCGCGUGCGGAAUGAAAGUGAAGGGCAUGCCCUGCCAACCGACCUUGACCUGCUGUGAGGGGUUUGAGUGGAGCACACCUGUCGGGACCCGAAAGAUGGUGAACUAUGCCUGGGUAGGGUGAAGCCAGAGGAAACUCUGGUGGAGGCUCGUAGCGAUACUGACGUGCAAAUCGUUCGUCGAAUCUGGGUAUAGGGGCGAAAGACUAAUCGAACCAUCUAGUAGCUGGUUCCCUCCGAAGUUUCCCUCAGGAUAGCUUGAACGCAACGGUUUUGUCAGGUAAAGCGAAUGAUUAGAGGCCUGUGGGCUGAAACAGCUUGCACCUAUUCUCAAACUUUAAAUGGGCAAGAGGCCCGGGAUGCUUGAGUGAUCCCGGGCGGCGAACGGCGCGUUCAAAGUGGGCCAUUUUUGGUAAGCAGAACUGGCGAUGCGGGAUGAACCGAACGCCGCGCUAAGGUACCCAAGUGUCCGCUCAUCAGAUACCACAAAAGGCGUUGGUACCUCCAGACAGCAGGACGGUGGCCAUGGAAGUCGGAACCCGCUAAGGAGUGUGUAACAACUCACCUGCCGAAGGUACUAGCCCUGAAAAUGGAUGGCGCUCAAGCGGACCACCGAUGCGCGGCCGCCGGCGCGAGCGCGAGGCGCCGGCGAGUAGGAGGGCGCGGGGCUCGCGGCGCAGCCUUGGGCGCGAGCCUGGGUGAAGCGGGCCCCGGUGCAGAUCUUGGUGGUAGUAGCAAAUAUUCAAAUGAGAACUUUGAAGACUGAAGUGGAGAAAGGUUCCGUGUGAACAGCAGUUGGACACGGGUGAGCCGACCCUAAGAGACAGGAAAACUCCGCCGAACGCGGCUGGUUCUGUCAGCCCGUCCGUCGAAAGGGAAUCGGGUUAAUAUUCCCGAGCCAGCGCGUGGAUGGUGGGCGGCGACGCGAACGAACCCGGAGACGCCGGCGGGAGCCCUGGGAAGAGUUCUCUUUUCUUCUUAACUGCCUCCUGCCCUGGAAUCGGUUUAGCCGGAGCGAGGGCUACACGGCAGGCAAAGCACCCUAAGUCUUGGGGUGUCCGGCGCGCUCCCGACGGCCCGUGAAAAUCCGGGGGAGCGGUUCGUUCUCACGCCUGGUCGUACUCAUAACCGCAUCAGGUCUCCAAGGUGAACAGCCUCUAGUCGAUAGAGCAAUGUAGGUAAGGGAAGUCGGCAAAAUGGUUCCGCAACCUCGGGAGAAGGAAUGGCUCUGAAGGCUGGGCGCAGGGGUCCUAGGCUCGAGGCCGGCUGGCUGCGCGGGGACUACGGCCUCACGGCUGCGGAUCCCGCGCGGCCGUCCGGCGGACGGCCUAGGAGCGCUCCGGCUCUCCCUGCGCGACGAACAGCCGCUUCAGAACUGGCGCGGACAAGGGGAAUCCGACUGUUUAAUUAAAACAAAGCAUUGCGAUGGCCCGCGAGGGUGCUGACGCAAUGUGAUUUCUGCCCAGUGCUCUGAAUGUCAAAGUGAAGAAAUUCAACCAAGCGCGGGUAAACGGCGGGAGUAACUAUGACUCUCUUAAGGUAGCCAAAUGCCUCGUCAUCCAAUUAGUGACGCGCAUGAAUGGAUUCGUGAGAUUCCCACUGUCCCUAUCUACUGUCUAGCGAAACCACAGCCAAGGGAACGGGCUUGGAAGAAUCAGCGGGGAAAGAAGACCCUGUUGAGCUUGACUCUAGUCUGUUACUGUGGAACGACUUGAUGGGUGUAGAAUAUGCGGGAGGGGCAACCCGACAGUGAAAUACCGCAACCGUCAACGUUGUUUUACUUACUCGGUGGCGCGGAGGGAGGCUCGCCUCACUUCUGGAUCCAAGCCGCUUCGUGCGCGCGAUCCGCGUCGGGGACACUAACAGGUGGGGAGUUUGGCUGGGGCGGCACGUCUGUUAAAAAAUAACGCAGGCGCCCGAUUUUGAGCUCAAUGAGAACAGAAAUCUCAUGUGGACCGAAAGGGGAAAAGCUCGGUUGAUUUUGAUUUUCAGUACGAAUACAAACCGCGAAAGCGUGGCCUAUCGAUCCUCUCGUCUUUGGGAAUUUCAAGCUAGAGGUGUCAGAAAAGUUACCACAGGGAUAACUGGCUUGUGGCUGCCAAGCGUUCAUAGCGACGUAGCUUUUUGAUCCUUCGAUGUCGGCUCUUCCUAUCACUGCCUCGCAGCGGGGGCCAAAUGCAGGAUUGUUCACCCACCAACAGGGAACGUGAGCUGGGUUUAGACCGUCGUGAGACAGGUUAGUUUUACCCUACUGCUGUCUGUUUUUCUACGGUAAUUUGGUUCAGUACGAGAGGAACCACCAAUUCGCAUCAUCGGUAUAGCCGCCGCCGGAAACGGCGAUGCGGCGAAGCUGCCAUGCGCCGGAUUAUAACUGAACGCCUCUAAGUUAGAAUCCAUGCCGGAAGGAAAGCCACCUACCGGCCCGGGGACGCCACGAGCAACGGUAGCACUGCCUGAGCCGCGAGCGACCACAAUUCACGGACCCGGGCCGACGAAUCCCUUGCAGACGACUUGAAUAAGGAACGGGGUAUUGUACGCGGCAGAGUGGCCUUGUUGCCACGAUCCGCUGAGAUUCAGCCUUGGUUCUGACGAUUUGUUGCGCGCGCGCAACAACCCUCGCUCGGAGCCGCGCCAGGGCCUCUCCCGUUCCUCAGUCGCUCUCUCGGCGCUCUCCCCCUCUCGCCUCUCCUCCGAGCCUCAAACGCUCGGGGGCGGAGCCAAGGGGGCGAGAGCGCGAUUUCUGCCCAAGGCAGCGCGCAGGCCACUGCGCAGACACACCCGGCUUUCCCCGAGCCGCCACUGGGCGCUCCCGCGGUCCCCUCCGGGCUGAAUGCAGCCUCCGGAGCGGGCGGCGCGAGCGUCUAAGUCUACUCAGAGCCUUCCACGCUCUUCUUUGCGUUCCGAAGCACACACUGCGCUCCUCUGUAGUGCAUCGCCCGGCCAACUCGCUUGCCGCUGUCAUUGCCCCCGCCGCCCUCUCGCACCACAGCCGCCACCGCCAUCUCUCCUGUCACCACCGUUACCGUUACCUCCACUGCCCUCGCCACCGCCCUCGCCCCCCACGCCGCCGCUACCAUUCCGACCAUCACCACCGCUGUCGCCACCGUCCCCACCGCCUCCCCCGGGCCUGCCGCCGCUCUCGCCCUCCGCUCCCCACCCCCGCAGCUCCUCCCCGCCCCCUCCGGACCUCCCACGCCGCCGCCGCCAUCCCAGCCGCUGCCGGCCCACCCGCCCUUGCGCUUUUGCCACCACCUCCCUCGUCUCCUCCGCCCCCACCACCACCGCUGCCACCGCCGCCCUCGCCGCCGCCACCAUCCCAGCCACCCUCGCCGCCCCCACCCCCACCGCCGCCCUUACUCGCAGCCGCCCUCCCCACCGCCGCCCUCGUUGCCGCCCUCGCCACUGCCGCCGCCCUCUCACCCGCCAUCCCUACCGCCGCGCCCUCGCCGCUGCCCUCCCCGCCCCCUCCCAACACCCGCCAGCCUCCGCCGCGCCGGCCGGCAUGCCACCGCUCUUGCUCUCGCCCCCCGCCGCCCCGCCGCCCCGCCGCCGCCCCGCCGCCAUUGCCGCAUCAGUCACCGCCGCCGCCACCCUCGAGCCUCGUCACCACCGUCUCCACCGCCGCCCUCGCCGCCACACCGCCCUUAGCUCACCCCCACCCCCAUCCUUGCUGCCGUCGCCGCCACCUACCAGGCCCCCGCCACCCUCGCUGCCGCCUUGCCGCCCCCACCCUCAUCCUUACCAUUGCCCCCGCCACCCUCGCAGCCCUCGCCGCCGCCGCCGCCCUCUCACCCGCCACCCCUACCUGCUACCACCGCCCUCGCCGCCGCCCGCCCACUCAAAGCACGAUUCUCAAGUUGGGCCCCCCGGGGCGAUACCGAGUGGGAGUGUCGAGUGUCGUAUGCAUGUCUGGUGUCUAGUAGCUCCGAGUAGAGGGGGCGUUCUGCUGCUUGGGGAAACCCAAAGAAGAAGGAGCAGCUCCCUCGAUGUACGAAGACCCGUUUUUACUCUCUCUUCUGUUUGUUCCCUGCGACCGCGCACCCUCCCCCAGGGCUAGGGCUCUCUAGCCCGUAUAUGCCCGUAUAUAGCCCGUAUAUAGCCCGACCUCACACGGUGUCGAGCGCCGUAGAGACGGCCCCGAGAGCCGCCACCAGGUGUGCCACGACCGCGGCCGCGAGGCUCGUGGCGAUGGAUGCGCCAGACCCGCUUUGCGCCGCCGCCCUCAACGCCCGAUACUUGAUCAGAGCCGGCGGAGCGACGGCGGCGGAGUUGCGGCCGCCGGCGACCUUCCCCUCGACCACGCCGCCGACCCGUCGACAAGCACGUGCGGACUGCCAUCGAGAAGAAGGACGGCUCGCUCGGCUCCGCUCAGUCAGAGGUGUGCAUGACCUAGCUGAGCGCCACAAGCCCAGCUCGUCAGAGCUGGGCUUGU
rnacentral:rRNA from 1 species